AGAACGAACGCUGGCGGCAUGCCUAACACAUGCAAGUCGAACGAGACCUUCGGGUCUAGUGGCGCACGGGUGCGUAACGCGUGGGAAUCUGCCCUUGGGUUCGGGAUAACAGUUGGAAACGACUGCUAAUACCGGAUGAUGACUUCGGUCCAAAGAUUUAUCGCCCAGGGAUGAGCCCGCGUCGGAUUAGCUAGUGGUGAGGUAAGGCUCACCAAGGCACGAUCCGUAGCUGGUCUGAGAGGAUGUUCAGCCACAUGGGACUGAGACAUGGCCCAGACUCCCGUACGGGAGGCAGCAGUAGGGGAAUAGUUGGACAAGUGGGACGAAAGGCCUGAUCCGAGUCAAUAGGCCGCGUGAGUGAUCGGAAGGCCGUAAGGUUA
rnacentral:rRNA from 1 species